UGAGAAAGAAAGACUCAUUUCUGCUCGACCGUUGGUCGCCAUUUUGAGGACCUUAAAGGAGCUGUUAAAGUUGUAACUACGCAGUUAAUUUUUGAGUUUUUUUUAAAUAGUACUUUCGCUCACUUAAGGAUAAAUGUCUCGAUUCAACAAUAACCGUGGUGGGUACGGGAUGAAUCAAUUUCAGCCACGCCGAGGCGGUGGUCCCGGUGGCCCUAUGCGUGGCGGCCUAAUGGGAAACCCGCAUUACCGAAACCACCCUUUCCAAAACUCCAAUCAGAACCGUAGGGGAGGCAACAACAACUUCAGCGGAUCGAAUAGCCAGAAUUCCCAACAGAAGUCAGCGCAAAACCAGUCGAAGCCAAUUAUUCCUCCACCGAGUCCCGGACCGGCCCUCACCAUGAAAGGCCCGAUGGACCAACAGAAACCACCGGCCCAGCAGGAGCAGCAGAAACAGAACCCUCCUGCGGACCAGUCGAAGACCCAGACUUCAACUCCAAAACCGGACACGACCCCCGCUCAGGCCAACCAGAACCAGCAGAUCAAGACUCCGGCUGGGAAUGCCAACGCACAGCCACCGCAGACUCCACAGCAAAACCCGAAACCGAGUCCACAACAAGGCCAGAAACCCGCACCGCAACAGAGCCCCAAGACGGUUCCGCAGCAGAGCCCGAAACCCGGUCCACAGCAGAACCAGAAACCCGGUCCACAGCAGAACCAGAGACCCGGUCCGCAGCAGAACCAGAGACCCGGUCCACAGCAGAACCAGCGGCCUGGACCCCAACAGAACCAGCGACCUGGUCCCCAACAGAACCAACGGCCCGGUCCGCAACAGGCCUCUAGACCAGGCCAACAACAGGGCCAAAGGACUGGUCCCCAACAAGUCAACAAGACCGGCCCAGUCCAGGGUUCGGGCCCUAAGCCGCCCCAGAGGGCGGAACCAAUGGCCGAACAGAAGCCGAAAGAGGAGCCCACAAAGAGCGAACCAGAUGAAGCAGGGAUGUUCAAGGCAGCCUUGUCCAUGUUGCUGAAGCCUGGAGAGAAGUCCUACACACAGAGAUGCCGUCUGUUUGUUGGUAACCUGCCAAAUGACAUCACAGAAGAUGAUUUCAGAAAACUUUUUGCAAAGUAUGGAGAACCUUCGGAAGUCUUUGUCAACAAAGGAAAAGGCUUUGGCUUCAUCAGACUGGAGUCGCGGGCGCUGGCAGAAAUCGCUAAAGCUGAGAUGGAUGACUAUCCGAUGAAGGGCAGACCGCUUCGCGUUCGUUUUGCUACACACUCUGCUGCGCUGUCUGUGAAGAAUCUGUCUCCGUUUGUUUCCAACGAGCUCCUGGACGAAGCCUUCUCGCAGUUCGGCCUGGUCGAGAGGGCUGUCGUUGUCGUUGAUGAUCGCGGACGCUCUGCAGGGCGCGGCAUUGUGGAGUUUGCUUCCAGAACUGCUGCUAAAAAGGCUCUGGACCGAUGCAACGAAGGCGUUUUCCUUCUCACCGCGUCGCCCCGUCCUGUAGUUGUUGAGCCUCUGGAGCAGUUUGAUUGUGAUGAUGGGCUUCCUGAGAAAUUUGUCCAGAAAAACCCAAAAUUUCAAGUAGCGCGUGAGCAGCCUCCUCGCUUUCCCCGCCCCGGCUCCUUUGAAUUUGAAUAUUCAAAACGUUGGAAGUCUCUGGAUGAGAUGGAGAAGCAGCAAAGGGAGCAGGUGGAGAAGAACAUGCGUGAAGCUCGUGAGAAACUGGAGAGCGAGAUGGAAGACGCUUACCAUGAGCAUCAGGCCAACAUGCUGCGGCAGGAACUGCUGAGGCGGCAGGAAGAGCUGCGGCGCAUGGAGGAACUGCACAACCAAGAAAUGCAAAAGAGAAAGGAAAUGCAGCUCAGACAGGAAGAAGAACGGCGCCGACGGGAAGAAGAGCUUCUCAGAAAGAGGGAAAUGGAGGAACAGAUACGGCGUCAGCGUGAAGAAAACUACCGAAUGGGAAACUUCAUGGAUAGAGACGUUGACAUACGGAUGCACAACAGUGGCUCCUUAGGCAUGGGAGAUAUGGCCUUCAGCGGAUCCAACCAGAACUUUGCGAUGAGUGGCCUCGGCUUUGAGGGUCAGUCUGGACUGGGAUCAUCUCCAGGAGGCAUGAUGACCAGUGAAAUGGAGCCUCGACCAAUCAGAGGAGGCUGACGGUUCCACCUGAGCAGCCACGGUAAAAAUCACACCUGAAGUCUGAGAACAGGAAGCCACGGAGGCUGGAGUCUGAACUCCAUCAGGAAGAUUUAAAAUGGUUCACAACUCGGUACAGGAAGCCAGAUGCAUGUGAAGCUGCAGUACCAGGACGCAACCAGCAGGGGGCGGACAUCCAGCGACAGAUUCUGUUUUUCUGUUGGAAAAUAAAUGAGCAAAAAACUGUUUUGUUCAUGUUUGAGUUUAUUCAGCUGAGUCAUUUUGUACUUUUAGGAGUAUUUUUACUACAUGGUGCGUUUUACUUUUACUUGAAGCGUUAAGUUAAAUUUAUGAAUAUUCUACUGCUGUGAGUAACUUCACUGAAUGAAGAACAAACUUGUUUUAACUAAAAAUUCACCAGACAUACCUGUAGUGUUUGUUUUAGUUUCAUAAGCUUAAUAUUGAAAUGGCAACAUUUCCACAGAAAUGUAUAUUUUGGUCCAUCUGAUGAUGCAUUUCUUAAAUAUUAAAUUAUUGUUUUGAUCAGUCA